rnacentral:rRNA from 1 species
GUAGUCCACGCCCUAAACGAUGUCAACUGGGUGUUGGGGAAGCGAUUCCUCAGUACCGUAGCUAACGCGUGAAGUUGACCGCCUGGGGAGUACGGCCGCAAGGUUAAAACUCAAAGGAAUUGACGGGGACCCGCACAAGCGGUGGAUGAUGUGGAUUAAUUCGAUGCAACGCGAACAACCUUACCUACCCUUGACAUGUCCGGAAGCUCGCUGAGAGGUGAGUGUGCCCGAAAGGGAAUCGGAACACAGGUGCUGCAUGGCUGUCGUCAGCUCGUGUCGUGAGAUGUUGGGUUAAGUCCCGCAACGAGCGCAACCCUUGUCCCUAGUUGCUACGCAAGGGCACUCUAGGGAGACUGCCGGUGAUAAGCCGCGA